rnacentral:rRNA from 1 species
UACGUAGGGUGCAAGCGUUGUCCGGAAUUAUUGGGCGUAAAGAGCUCGUAGGCGGUUUGUCGCGUCUGCUGUGAAAACUCGGGGCUUAACUCCGGGCCUGCAGUGGGUACGGGCAGACUAGAGUGCGGUAGGGGAGAUCGGAAUUCCUGGUGUAGCGGUGAAAUGCGCAGAUAUCAGGAGGAACACCGGUGGCGAAGGCGGAACCCUGGGCCGUAACUGACGCUGAGGAGCGAAAGCAUGGGGAGCGAACAGG